UACGAAGGGGGCUAGCGUUGCUCGGAAUCACUGGGCGUAAAGGGUGCGUAGGCGGGUCUUUAAGUCAGGGGUGAAAUCCUGGAGCUCAACUCCAGAACUGCCUUUGAUACUGAGGAUCUUGAGUACGGGAGAGGUGAGUGGAACUGCGAGUGUAGCGGUGAAAAUGCGUAGAUAUCAGCAGGAACACCCGUGGCGAAGGCGGCUUCCUGGAUCACCCUGACGCUGAGACGCGAAAGCGUGGGGAGCGAACGGG
rnacentral:rRNA from 1 species